rnacentral:rRNA from 1 species
UACGUAGGUGGCGAGCGUUGUCCGGAUUUACUGGGCGUAAAGGGAGCGUAGGCGAACUUUUAAGUGAGAUGUGAAAUACUCGGGCUCAACUUGAGUGCUGCAUUUCAAACUGGAAGUCUAGAGUGCAGGAGAGGAGAAUGGAAUUCCUAGUGUAGCGGUGAAAUGCGUAGAGAUUAGGAAGAACACCAGUGGCGAAGGCGAUUCUCUGGACUGUAACUGACGCUGAGGCUCGAAAGCGUGGGGAGCAAACAGG